rnacentral:rRNA from 1 species
CAAUAGCGUAUAUUAAAGUUGUUGCAGUUAAAAAGCUCGUAGUUGGAUUUCUGGUGGGAGCGAUCGGUCUGGCGCUUAGCGCGAGUACUUGCAUCGUCUCCGGCCAUCCUUGGGGAGAGUCUGUCUGGCAUUAGGUUGUCGGGCAGAGGAUCCUCAUCGUUUACUGUGAAAAAAUUAGAGUGUUCAAAGCAGGCUUAUGCCGUUGAAUAUAUUAGCAUGGAAUAAUAAGAUAGGACUUUGGUACUAUUUUGUUGGUUUGCGCACCAAAGUAAUGAUUAAUAGGGACAGUUGGGGGUAUUCGUACUCCGUUGUCAGAGGUGAAAUUCUUGGAUUUACGGAAGACGAACUACUGCGAAAGCAUUUACCAAGGAUGUUUUCAUUGA